UCCCGUACAGUAGCCGAAGCAGAGGAGCAGGAGGAAGAUGCAGCUCACCGAGGGAGGUUGUAGCCAAGGCAGUACUCAGUGGGUGCCAGAGUUGCGGUUGAACGACGUCCAACCGGCGAGGAACCACUUCCUACACUCCUGAACCGGCAUAAAAAGAAGCAGGAGCUCAUCAUUUCCCAUUGCUCCUGAAAAAAUUGUAAAACAAACAAAAAUUAAUGCUUUGUGACUGACCAGCAAGAAUUAGAAAACUAAUUCUUAUAACCGAAGGUGCUCUGAACCCAAAUCUUUUCUUCAUAAACAUGGAGAAACUCUCAUCAACAGAGUAAGCUCGCGACAUAUAAAAAAAAUAUUAUAAGAAACAACACCAGAUAUAAGCUAACAAAAUUAAGUUUAGAAUAUACCCUAGCAAAUCAAUAACUGUACAAAAAUAUUGUGGGCUAAAUGGAAUUCAUAUAGGCCACUAACUAAACUGAGAGGAACCAAACUUUUAUAUUUUGACCAAUUUUUCCACAUUAGUCUGAAGCUCUUGUUAUUUUAUUUAUCCAAAUUAAGACUGUCAUUAUUUAAACCGGAUAUUCUUAAGCCUCUAUCUGAUUUAAGCCCAGAACAUAAAAUUAGAUGGCAAAAAUCAUGCAUGGACUGAACUCUUCAGCAAAAUAAUAUAUGUCUAUUCAAAGCUAUAUGUUUUCAGAUUGUUUAGGAUUAUUUUAACUGCUUUUGACAUCUUUGUGCUUGCUUGGCAUUUGGAUUCGGUGUACUGAAUUGAUACUUUGCACAUAUAUAAUACAUCUUUGUAUUUACUUUACAGAAGUACCUCAUUGGCUCCUAUUACCAAGACCGAUAAGAAUUUGGGCAGCUAUGAGAUGGAUAAUUUUUUGAACUUACUGAUGACAGGGAGGUUCAUUUCAAGGUCAAGAAGCUUAA
rnacentral:lncRNA from 1 species